UGAGACACGGCCCAGACUCCUACGGGAGGCAGCAGUGGGGAAUUUUGGACAAUGGGCGAAAGCCUGAUCCAGCAAUGCCGCGUGUGUGAAGAAGGCCUUCGGGUUGUAAAGCACUUUUGUCCGGAAAGAAAUGGCUCUGGUUAAUACCUGGGGUCGAUGACGGUACCGGAAGAAUAAGGACCGGCUAACUACGUGCCAGCAGCCGCGGUAAUACGUAGGGUCCAAGCGUUAAUCGGAAUUACUGGGCGUAAAGCGUGCGCAGGCGGUUGUGCAAGACCGAUGUGAAAUCCCCGAGCUUAACUUGGGAAUUGCAUUGGUGACUGCACGGCUAGAGUGUGUCAGAGGGGGGUAGAAUUCCACGUGUAGCAGUGAAAUGCGUAGAGAUGUGGAGGAAUACCGAUGGCGAAGGCAGCCCCCUGGGAUAACACUGACGCUCAUGCACGAAAGCGUGGGGAGCAAACAGGAUUAGAUACCCUGGUAGUCCACGCCCUAAACGAUGUCAACUAGUUGUUGGGGAUUCAUUUCCUUAGUAACGUAGCUAACGCGUGAAGUUGACCGCCUGGGG
rnacentral:rRNA from 1 species